UACGAGGGGGGCAAGCGUUUGUUCGGAAUUAUUGGGCGUAAAGGGUGCGUAGGCGGUUUGGUAAGUCUUAUGUGAAAUCUACAGGCUCAACUUGUAGUCUGCAUGAGAAACUGCCGGGCUUGAGUAUGGGAGAGGUGAGUGGAAUUCCUGGUGUAGCGGUGAAAUGCGCAGAUAUCAGGAAGAACACCCGUGGCGAAGGCGGCUCUCUGGGACGGUACUGACGCUGAGACGCGAAAGCGUGGGGAGCGAACAGG
rnacentral:rRNA from 1 species